CGGAGGCAGCAGUGGGGAAUGUUGCACAAUGGGCGAAAGCCUGAUGCAGCAACGCCGCGUGAGGGACGAAGGCCUUCGGGUCGUAAACCUCUUUUCUGAGGGACGAGACAAGGACGGUACCUCAGGAAUAAGUCUCGGCUAACUACGUGCCAGCAGCCGCGGUAAAACGUAGGAGGCGAGCGUUAUCCGGAUUUACUGGGCGUAAAGCGCACGCAGGCGGCUCGGCAAGUUGGGCGUAAAAGCUCCUGGCUUAACUGGGAGAGGUCGUUCGAAACUACCGGGCUUGAGGUUGGGAGAGGGGUGUGGAAUUCCCGGUGUAGUGGUGGAAUGCGUAGAUAUCGGGAGGAACACCAGUGGCGAAGGCGGCACCCUGGCCCACACCUGACGCUGAUGUGCGAAAGCGUGGGGAGUAAACAGGAUUAGAUACCCUGGU
rnacentral:rRNA from 1 species